GGAAGGUUGCCUGAGCGGACGAAAGGGGCGGCCUCGAAAGCCGUUGUAGCACUUCGUGUUACCAAGGGUUCGAAUCCCUUACCUUCCGCCA
rnacentral:tRNA from 2 species